AACCAUGGACCUGAUCCGGUAAGAUUCCGGGCCAGAGGAUCACUCCCUCUCUUUUCGAAGACUGGUGAGCCGAUUCUUGCUAUUACUGCUUUACUGGCCCACUUUUCUUGCCGGGUAUUUCGGCGCUCGAGAGGCAAAGUCUCAAGGAGCCGAUUGUCUUCGGAAUUUCUACGCUUCUCCCUUGUUCGCAGGGUUUUGAGUCGCGUGGAUUUAAGUUCCGAGCUUACAGACAGUCGGUUGUUGCCUCCGGAUUCGUCUGGUGGAUGAGACAGAAGCAGCCCCGUCGACAGGUUCCCAGAGGAAGCAGGACGCGUGUAUCUUGAGCUCUUGAGUGUUAGUUUUCUUCUUCGGAAGGGGAACUUCGCUCGAUUGAGUUCGGUCGCCUUUGUGUCGUUCUGUCGCGGUAUAUUCCUAAACGCUGUGUAGGCCCUAUGGGCCAGUUAUCAUUUGGGUAAAACCAUACCGCUGACAUUU
rnacentral:snoRNA from 1 species